GUGUUUACUUCAGCCACACAUGUACUAAAAUUGGAAUGGUGCAGAGAUUAGCACAAGCUCCUGCACAAGGGUGACACAAAAAUUCCUGAAGCAUUCCAAAUUUUU
rnacentral:snRNA from 1 species